rnacentral:misc_RNA from 1 species
UCGAGCGUAAAAACUCCCUAAAACCCACUGUGAACCUACCUACAACGUUGCCUCGGCGUGUCCUAGCGGGCUCGCCGGGGGACCCGAACUCUUGUUUCCCACACCGGAUCUUCUGAGUGGCGUAAAGCAAAAAUAAGUUA